UCGAGGAUCUUCGGCAAUGGGCGAAAGCCUGACCGAGCGACGCCGCGUGUGCGAUGAAGGCCUUCGGGUUGUAAAGCACUGUCGUGGGGGAGAAAGCCCGCAAGGGUUGAUCGACCCCAGGAGGAAGCACGGGCUAAGUUCGUGCCAGCAGCCGCGGUAAGACGAACCGUGCGAACGUUAUUCGGAAUCACUGGGCUUAAAGGGCGCGUAGGCGGGCGGCCGAGUCCGGGGUGAAAGCCCCCAGCUCAACUGGGGAAGUGCCUCGGAUACCGGCCGUCUCGAGGGGGAUAGGGGCGUGCGGAACUUCCGGUGGAGCGGUGAAAUGCGUAGAUAUCGGAAGGAACACCGGUGGCGAAAGCGGCGCGCUGGAUCCCUUCUGACGCUGAGGCGCGAAAGCCAGGGGAGCGAACG
rnacentral:rRNA from 1 species